UACGGAGGAUCCGAGCGUUAUCCGGAUUUAUUGGGCGUAAAGGGAGCGCAGGCGGUGACUUAAGUCUGAUGUGAAAGCCCACGGCUCAACCGUGGAAGGUCAUUGGAAACUGGGUCACUUGAAUAUAGAAGAGGUAAGCGGAACUGAUGGUGGAGCGGUGAAAUGCAUUGAUAUCAUCAGGAACACCGGUAGCGAAGGCGGCUUACUAGGUCUCUUCUGACGCUGAGGCACAAAAGCUAGGGGAGCGAACGGGAUUAGAUACCCGCGUA
rnacentral:rRNA from 1 species